AUGCUUCUUCCCCUGACGGACACAAGGUGGGUCCGGAGAGGAGAUUUCUCGAUCCCGUACGGAGUGCGCAGGUGGCGGAGGGAGAAGGCAAGGACGGUCGCUUUAGCGCCGUCGUCGUGCGGCGGUGCUUGGGCUGUUGGCAGCGGCGGCAUAGGAGACGGGGAAGACGCUAAUGUCCGUCAAGGCGUGCUUCGGCAACGACGCCAACGCGCUCGUCGACUGGGACGGCGGCCGCGACCACUGCCCCUGGCGGGGGUCGUCGCCUGCGACACCAACUCCUUCGCCUGGAGGAAGCUCAAAGGAAGCAAGACUUCAACAAAAAUCUCUGAAUGCAUUCCAAGCUUCUGUACGGCGUACGUCGUUUCAAAGGGCAAACUGUCAUUCGUGCACUCUUACACCUGA
rnacentral:rRNA from 1 species